AGCUUUGCGCAGCGGUGGCACUGUAGCCAAUGAGGUUUAUCUGAGGUGUGAUUAUCGCUAAUUUUAAAAAAUUGAAUCAUUUGAGAGUAAGUUGCACAAUCUGACCCUUUACCCCUAAAUACUUCAGUGUGAGUUUUCUGAGGAAAGAACUUUCUU
ensembl:snRNA U4 U4 spliceosomal RNA